UUGGUUCGUUCUAUAUGGUCCGCCAUCCAAGUAGCUUUUGGCUUCUAUCCUCCACGUAGUGUUGCUAACAUAUUUAGCAACUGGUUAGAUGAGAUUGAUCAAAAGUUUAGAAUUCUUCUCAGGAUGGGAGCGCUAGCCAUUAUUUGGUCGUUUUGGCUAUGUACAAAUGAUAAAGUCUUUAACGACAAAAAAUCUUCUCUUCUGCAGCUUAUCUACAGAUGUACUGGUACACUUCGUUUAUGGUCAUCUCUACAACGUGUGGAGGAUCUAGACCUAUUUACGGAGAUGUGUACAUGA
rnacentral:rRNA from 1 species